GUGACUCCGGCGUUUGCUGCACGUCAGGGAAGAUUGGCUGCCCACCCUUGUAGUGCUAAAGGUUUCUUGUCCACUCAUGCAGUGUUGCCUAUUGAGGGGGACUUUAAUUGAACAAUGAUGGAUCAGAAUGAAUGGAGAUAUACAGCUGCCUGCAGUAGUUCAAAUCCUUUGUUGAUUUUACCAAAAGGUACAGUUUUUAAACAAAUUGAAACUUUAGAGUCCAGCCAGUUGCUUUCCUGCCGUGCAAUCCUUUCCCACUCACAAGAUGGUCAGAACCUCAAUAUCUUUUAAAUACAUUGGAAGAAAUGAAAAAUGGGGGGGGAGCCAGUGUUGGCAUUGAAAUUGGUGAUAAAAGUUCUAUCAAUUUAUUCUACACUUCAAUUCAUUUUAACCUGGGUCCCUCCAAAUUUUGUGUGUGACAUUUUAAGAUGUACAAAAAAAAUCCUCAUGGUCAGAGAUGUUUUGAAAUCAAAAACUAUAAAACCCCAAGUCACAUUUACAUAACAGCUUAAUGUUGUAACAAUGAAUGAGGGUUUACUCCCUGAUCAGCAGAACAGUGCUUUUAGUUGGGAGUCUACAUAUGGAUUUAGACACCUAAUUAUUCUUCUCACUGUGAUGCUGACAGAGGUACUAUCCUACAAUCCUUCUGUAAGGGGUUUCUGGAUAACAAGGGCAUUCUUUGCUAUUCAAAGUAAAUUGAGAUGAGGCCAGCUGUAAAAAUCAGAUACUCAUGGGGAUUUGGAUUCAGUAUAGCCAAAAAAGAAACCUGAACUGGGCCCAUUUUUGCAGCAUGAAAACUGUCAAGCCCUGAAGAACUCCAUGCUUUCAGGGAACCAAUGAUUUCAUAGAAGGCCUUUAUUUAUUUAAGAUAAAUGAAAGGAAACCUUUUUGUAAUUCAGUAAAUGCAAGAUUAUUUACUCCUAAAAAUGAGCCAUAAAGAACUCAAAGUGCCUCACAGAUGGGGAAAGCGAGGGAGGUACAAAGGACUCUCAGGCUGAUGCUUUAUUUUGUUAUUGCCUGUGACCUAUCCAUGACUUGUGCUAAAAAUACCCUUGACUAAAUCAUAGCCUGAAUAAUAAUCAUCAAUGAAACUCACUCAUUUGUAGUGCAGAGAUUGCCCUUGGGGCUUAUGCAAGAUCUACAUUCUCCACCCUGUGGAACAAAGAGCGGGAUGACUUUAUCUCCUAGAAAUAGAGCAGAGCAGAAGCCACACAAGUAAAAGAUUGUAGCGGGUACAGUUCAAACUAUAUUGGUACCAAGUUCUCACUGGAAAUUCCAACAGAUGGUAUAUUUGUGAUGCUGUUUAUGAAAAAUUUAAUGUCUCAUCUCCCCUUUCUCAUGGGGUGGGGGAAGAGGGGUUGAGAUGCUAAACAAGUAAAGAAUCCGGCUAAAGAUUCUCCAUAUUUUACUAUACCAAAAUUCCAGAGGAGGAGUGUCAUACCCAAUAAUGUGCAAUAUAAAGUCUAGCUGCUAACAAUAAAAAAAAAUUAAUGUGUUGUUUUGAUUAAAAUGAAAACCCUUUACUGGAGCACUAAAUACACAUUUGGGGAUAUCCAGGAAGCCAGCAUUUUGUCAUCAGAUGAAUCUCUUUAUUAAUUCCCUCCCAAAACUGUUUACAUGGUAUGGAAAGGUUGAGAACUACUGGGGUGGGGGCUUAAAGGUGCUAAAUUAAAUAGGCCUUAUAGGGUCUUUUGUAACUCCAUACAAUUAACAGGAAAUGAAGCAUUCAUUGACCGUCACUCUUGUGUCUUGAGUCUCUGCCCCAUAUCUAGUCAUGGGGAUGCAGACAGGUAAGCAACUCCCCCGAAGAUCACAGGGGGAGAAUUUGCAUGUGAGUGAGUUUACCAGCUCUUUGAUUCUCUCUGCCUUCUCCCAUGCAGUCCACUACAUUUGAAACCCAUUCUCCCUAACCCAAUAUGAUUUCUUCCCUCCAGACCCUGCUUCAAGCUCUUCCUACAUAAGCUUCUAGUCUCUCCUCAGCGAGGAGUUAGCAAGCCAGAUGCUGUAAACUCUUCUUUUUAAAAAACAGUAAUGUUCACAAGACACGUGCAGAACUUCAGUACUCAAAACACAUUGAUUUCUGUCCCAUCCUCAUCUCCUUGCAUUAUUUCUUUGUGUAUAGUCUGUAAAUUCUUCAGGGCAAGAACCUAGCGCAAUGUUGGUAUUUUAUAAAUAUUAUAAUAAUAUCAACUGUUCCACCAUUAUUGCAGCCCAAGAAGAGAUGGGGCAACAGGCCCUUUGGACAUUCUCUGAAGCUCUGGGACAGUCAGAGUUGGAUGAUACCCCCUACAUACUGGGCCAUCCCUAGGUGGGGUGCGGGCAGGGCCAUCCUUAGGAUUUAUGGUGCCCUAGGUGGGAUUAUUAAACUGGUGCCCCCAUGCCUGACUUGCUCUUAGCAACACAAACACAAGCUUACAGUAUUGGAAAACUUGCCACAUGCACUUUAUUAAAAACAGUUUAACUUAAUUAAGCACACUGUAAUGCUGGUGGACUAUCACUAAAGAAGUGGCGCUAUAGAAAAAAAAUCUGAUUUAUUGACAGAAUGAAGCAAAUAAUAUAAUAUAGCCGUGAGUCUGUGACUUUGAGCUAGUGUGAAGGCGCUCCGCCCUGACUGAGACACAGUAGAGUUGGAAACCCAGGUCAUUUUUACAAAGCCACUUUUUAGUUUUAAAUGUAUAGUGGUCAUCAGUCUUAAUGUUAGUUACUUAUCCAGUUUAAUAAGCUGGGUUUCCAAGCAGUGGGAAAAUAGACCCCUAGUUUUACUCCUAGGUAAAGCACAAAGUGACCAGAAGUGCCUUAUUUUUGUUUGGAAAGACAUACAUGAUAAAUCACUGCCUCUAAAGUUCCAUCAGAAUCUUAGUACAACAUAUGGUCACUCUCUAUAGGAGCAUAUUACAGUUGUUGGAGGGCUCUAUUCAGCAGUAACAGGGCUAUAGGAAA